rnacentral:rRNA from 1 species
GAUGAACGCUGGCGGCGUGCUUAACACAUGCAAGUCGAACGAUGAAAGCGGGAGCUUGCUCCUGCUGGAUUAGUGGCGAACGGGUGAGUAACACGUGAGUAACCUGCCCUUGACUCUGGGAUAAGCGUUGGAAACGACGUCUAAUACCGGAUACGACCUUCGGAGGCAUCUCCUGGGGGUGGAAAGAAUUUCGGUCAAGGAUGGACUCGCGGCCUAUCAGCUAGUUGGUGAGGUAAUGGCUCACCAAGGCGACGACGGGUAGCCGGCCUGAGAGGGUGACCGGCCACACUGGGACUGAGACACGGCCCAGACUCCUACGGGAGGCAGCAGUGGGGAAUAUUGCACAAUGGGCGCAAGCCUGAUGCAGCAACGCCGCGUGAGGGGCGACGGCCUUCGGGUUGUAAACCUCUUUUAGUAGGGAAGAAGCGAAAGUGACGGUACCUGCAGAAAAAGCACCGGCUAGCUACGUGCCAGCCGCCGCCGUAAGAC